ensembl:lncRNA
GGUUACCUCACCAUGUGAUUCAGCCAUCUUCCGGAGCGGAGGUCUUGGUGGGACAUGCUUUGUUUUGUUUUGUUUUUGGUACUGGGAAUCGAACUCAGGAGCUUGUGGUUGUGAGGCAGGCGUGGUGCCACUGAGCUAAAUCCCCGGCCCCUGGGACGUUCUUGAUACAGUUGUAGGUUCUGGGAUUACAAUGUGGACAUUUCAGUGGAGCCCAUUUUUCCACCAACCAUGUACCCAGAUAGGUACCUUCAGCACACACAUAUGAUUUUAGGAGCAUAUGGGAAUGUAAAGUCACCAAACCAAGAGGAAAGUAACGAUGAGCUGAAAUAAUUAAAUAUGGCCAGGACUUCCACUCUGGGCUCUAACAAUCUUUACUACAAGCCAUCUUCAACAGCAAUAAGAAACUCUGAACAAGGAUUGAGUCUCAGUGUAUUUUUCCAGGUAUUGCAAUGACCACUUUUAAUCCCAACACUUGGGAAACUGGGCCACAGGGCAUGAACUGAGAUCAGUCUGGGUUACAUAGUGAGGAAGGUCAACCUGGACUACACAUUCUGAGACCUUGUCUGAAAAAGU